UCUUGCACCUCACACAAUUUCUUGAGAGUAGUCUCCCGGCAUCUUGGAAUAUGCCAAUUCAUAUGUUCUCACAUUUCAUACGAAUUGACAUAUUCCAAAGGCUUAUUUAGCCUAUAAAUACACCUAUUCUUGUAGAGAAAAGAAGUUGCACUCUCUCUCUCUCCCUACAUUACCCAUACUUGGCCCAAACAAUCCCAAAAUAAUCUCUUUCCUUCAUUGAAGUUUAAACUUAGAGCUUUGGAGUAUUCAUGGAAGGCUUGAGUGGUUGAUUAUAGUUGUUUUGAUUCUCCUAUUACUAUUCUCUCUUGCCUAGAGCUUGAUAAGCGGUUCUCCUCCCCAGGGUGUUGCUGUGCUAGGCAGUGAAGGGCUUAUAUGCAAUGGAACUUGGCAUUGUGAUCCGUUUCCGUUUGUCCGGUGAGAGGUGGGAACAAGCGAACCAUGUCACCAGCUAGGCAAUUCAUCCUUCGCUUUGUUACCUUUUAUUUUGAUGCUGUGUUUGGUGGCAUGUAAUUCGUAUCUUGGAUUCGGAAUUGCAGACAAUUUCCUAUGUCAUAUUUUGAACUGAAGUGGUCUUCAUUUCUUAUUUCAAAGCAUGAAUUUUGUACAGCCAAACACAUUGUGUUUGGUGGCACCGUGGCAUGUAGUCCAUGUUCUAGAUUCUUCAUCCUAUUUCAUAUUUUGAAUUAAAAUGGUCUUUAAUUCCGAUUUCAAAGCAUGAAUUGUGUGUCACCAAACAGUGUGUUAUGUGCUUUUUAUAAAAAGCAUAAGAAUUCCCAAUAUGUACUAUAAUACUUUUGUUGCCUUUUUCCUUCCAAGUACUUUUGUAAGACGUAAUGGUUUUGAUAUAUGCUACAAUUGUGGUCUAUGAUUUA